rnacentral:lncRNA from 1 species
GACAUAAAGUCUAACAAUGGGCUUGCUAUCCACAUUUUCCUCUGCAAUACCUCCAUGGAGAACAGAUGCUUUUACAAUUCAGAUGGGGACUUCUUGAUUGUUCCGCAGAAAGGGAACCUUCUCAUUUACACCGAGUUUGGCAAGAUGCUUGUACAGCCCAAUGAGAUCUGCGUCAUUCAGGAUGUCUCCCCGUUCAAUGUUGUGGCCUGGCACGGGAAUUAUACACCCUACAAGUACAACCUGAAGAAUUUCAUGGUUAUCAACUCAGUGGCCUUUGACCAUGCAGGAACUGCAUGAGUGAGUUCAUGGGACUCAUCCGAGGUCACUAUGAGGCAAAGCAAGGUGGGUUCCUGCCAGGGGGAGGGAGUCUACACAGCACAAUGACCCCCCAUGGACCUGAUGCUGACUGCUUUGAGAAGGCCAGCAAGGUCAAGCUGGCACCUGAGAGGAUUGCCGAUGGCACCAUGGCAUUUAUGUUUGAAUCAUCUUUAAGUCUGGCGGUCACAAAGUGGGGACUCAAGGCCUCCAGGUGUUUGGAUGAGAACUACCACAAGUGCUGGGAGCCACUCAAGAGCCACUUCACUCCCAACUCCAGGAACCCAGCAGAACCUAAUUGAGACUGGAACAUUGC